rnacentral:rRNA from 1 species
GCCAACGAUCAUACCACGUUGAAUACACCAGUUCCCGUUAGAUAACUGAAGUUUAGCAACGUCGGGCGUGGUCAGUACUUGGAUGGGCGACCGCCUGGGAACACCACGUAUCGUUGGCUCAU